rnacentral:rRNA from 1 species
CCUACGCGCGGCAGCAGUAGGGAAUUUUGCGCAAUGGGCGAAACCCUGACGCAGCAACGCCGCGUGAUCGAGACGCCCUUCGGGGUGUAAAGAUCUGUCAGUGGGGACGAAACUUGACGGUACCCACAGAGGAAGCACCGGCUAACUUCGUGCCAGCAGCCGCGGUAAUACUGGGGGUGCAAGCGGUGUCCGGAAUCAUUGGGCGUAAAGAGUUCGUAGGCGGGAACUAAACGCUGGUGUUCAAGGCAGAGGCUUAAAUUUGUUACGGCACUGAAUACUGGAGAGCUGGAAUGAGGUAGAGGCAAGGGGAAUUCCUGGUGUAGCGGUGAAAUGCUUAGAUAUCAGGAGGAACACCAGUGGCGUAAGCGCUUUACUGGGCCGUAAUUGACGCUGAGGAACGAAAGCGAGGGUAGCAAAUGGGAUUAGAUACCCUAGUAGUC